GCACAAGUCAGAGUACUUUGUCUCUCCUGAUUUUGUACUAAAUUGUACUUAUAAAUGAUUGUUCUAUACUACCUACUCUUACUUCUUAUCCACUCCCUAACAGCUCUCAUGUCCCUGUACCCUCCGUGCUCCUUAUUGCCCUUAUUUUGACUUGUCUCCAGUCCCAUUAAUUUUUUCUCUGCUUUGCCUUAAACGUCUCUCUACACUCACCCCAGUCUGCGGGCGGCACG